UCCCUCGCGGACGGCGCUGGUCACUGGGGGACGCGGCUCCCGCCCUCGCCGCCGACCCCACGGGCCGCUGCCCCGAGGAACACCGGUCUGUGUCGGUGGCCGGCGGGCGCCCCCUCAGAGGUGGCUGCGAGGGAGUGUGUGUGGGGGGGGUGGCCGUCACGGAGGACGUGGAAGCUGGGGUUGAACUUGACUCACCGGAAACUGAGCCGCGUGUGACAAACAGGUUUGCGGCGGCGAGUGACACCGGAGGGAGCUGCAGAGCGACUCGGUGAAGAACUGGAAGCUGGCCGGUAGGGAGCAACGGAGGGAAGGCGAGAGGAGCGAGAGCCAGCCCCCGCGGCUUGUCAUGCAGGCAGAGUGGACAGUGAGAGAGAGAGAGAGAGACAGAGAGAAAGGUCUUCCUUUGCCGUUGGUUCACCCUCCAGUGGCCGCCACAGCUGCAACAGAUGCACCGCGCUGAUCCGAAGCCAGGAGCCAGGUGCUUCUCCUGGUCUCCCAUGGGGUGCAAGGCCCAAGGACUUGGGCCAUCCUCCACUGCACUCCUGGGCCACAGCAGAGAGCUGGCCUGGAAGAGGGGCAACUGGGACAGAAUCUGGCGUCCCGACCGGAACUAGAGCCCGGUGUGCCGAGGCUGCUAGGUGGAGGAUUAGCCUACUGAGCCGCGGCGCCAGCCCAACAUUUCUUUAAUGAUGAAUGAUAUUGGACGUAUUUUCCUGGGCUUGUUGAUCAUUUGUGUAUCUUCUUUGGAGAACCACCUAUUCAAGUCCUUUUCUCUUUUUACAAUCAGGUUUGUUGCUGUGGCUGUCCAGUCGUAGAAGUUCGUUAUACAGUCUGGAUAUGGACCUCAAGAUUUGCUAAUAUUUUCUCUCAUCCUGUGAUUGAGUCACUCUGUUGUUUGUGUUCUUCGAUACACAACAGCUUUUGUGAUUAUAUAUUGUCAAAUUUACCUAGUUUUAUUCCUAUUUCUGGGUCUUUGGCAUGAUAUCCAAGAAAUCAUUGCCAGGUUCAAUGUCAUGAAGCUUUGACAAUGUAAGGAAGCUAUGUGUCCAUGUGUUCUAAGAGUUUUAUAGUUUUAGGUCUUGUGCUCAGAUCUUUAACAUUUUGAGUUAUUUUUUUCCUAUAGUAUAAGGUAAAGGUACAGGUGGAUGUUCAGUUUUCUCAGUACUGUUUGUUUAAAAGACCGUCAUUUCCCCCAUUGAAUAGUCUUGGAAACCUGCUGAAAAUCAUUAACACAUAUGUGACAAUUUAUUUCUGGUUUCUGUAUAUUCUAAUCCACUAUGUUAGCACCAUACUAUUUUGAUUAGUAAAGCUUUGCAAUGAGUUUUUUAAAAAGACAUUUAUUUAUUUGAAAGGCAGAACUAUAGAGAGAGAAGGGGAAAGACACACAUACAUGCACAGAGAAAGGGGGGGGGUCUUCCAUCUGCUCAUUCACUCCCCAAUUGACCACAACAGCCGAAGCUGCACUGAUCUGAAGCCAGGAGCCAGGAGCUUCUUCCAGGUCUCCCAGGCAAGUGCAGGAGCCCAAGGACUUGGGUCAUCUUCUACUGCUUUCCCAGGCCAUAGCAGAGAGCUGGAUUGGAAGUGGAGCAGCCAGGACUAGAACUGGCGCCCAUAUGGGUUGCUGGCACCCCAGGUGGAGGUUUAACCUGCUACGCUACAGCACUGGCCCCAGAUACUUGAUUUUUAAAAACUCAGUUAAAAGCAGCAUACUUAAAAAAUAAACUCAUUCUCAAACUUUUUGGUGCCAGUUCAUACAAGUGCAACUUAUGUUAGUAUUUUGAUUUGUAAGAGUUUUUAUGAAUAAACUUUUUACUUGGGAAUAAUUCUAGAUCUACAGAAAAGUUGUAAAGCCUCAGUCUUUCCUAAUAUUUUAUGUUUAAUUUUUUUAUUUAUUGGGAGGAUAGAGAGAGAAAUUAAGAGCAAGAGCUCACUCUCAUUCACUGAUUCACUCCCCAAAUGCCUGUCAGGAGCCCGGAACUCAAUCCAGGACUCCCACACGGGUGGCAGGAACCCAAGUACUUGAGCCAUCAAUGGUCUUCCCUAAUGUUAACAUCUCUUGUAACCACGGGACAUUUAUCAAAACACAGGCAUUAAUUUGGGUACAUUAGUAACAAGUAGACUCUAGACUUUGUUUGGAUUUCACCAGUUUCUCCACUAAUGUCUUGUUUCAGUUCCAGCAUACCUAGUUUCACGUAGAAUACUUUGAUUUUUGAAAGCAGCUCCCUUGUGAAGCCCAUUUAGUAAUUCCAACAUUUCAGAUGUUGAUUCUCAGGAACAUCUUAGGUAUUUAAUCGGCAAGUGAUGAUGAUUUUGUUCUUUCCUUCUGAAUCCUUGUAUUUUUAUUUCAUUUUUCCUGCUGUUUUGGGUAGGACUUGUAAUACUUUGCUACACAGAAAUAAUGAGUCAGGAUGGGGCCAGCAUUGUGGUGCAAUGAGUUAAGCUUCUGCCUGGGACACAUGCAUCCCACAUGAGCACAGGUUCAAGUCCCAGCUGCCCCAACUCUCUGCUAACCUGCCUGGGAAUGCAGCAGAGGAUGGCUCAAGCACUUGGGCCUCUGCCUCCCAUGUGGGAAACCCCAGUGGAGGUCCAGGCUCCUGGCUUCUGCCUGACCAUUCCCUGCCUUUACAGUCAUUUAGGGACUGAACCAGAGGAUGCAAGAUAACUCUCUCUCUCUGUCUCUCUCUCUCUGUCUCUUUCUCCCCACCCCCCGCCCCGUAACUCUGCCUUUCAGUGCCUGUUUUUUUGUUUGUUUGUUUGUUUUUUUAACAGGCAGAGUGGACAGUGAGAGACAGAGAGAAAGGUCUUCCUUUGCCGUUGGUUCACUUUCCAAUGGCCGCUGCGGCCGGCGCGCUGCGCUGAUCCAAAGGCAGGAGCCAGGUGCUUCUCCUGGUCUCCCAUGGGGUGCAGGGCCCAAGGACCUGGGCCAUCCUCCACUGCACUCCCUGGCCACAGCAGAGAGCUGGCCUGGAAGGGGGGCAACCAGGACAGAAUGCGGCGCCCCGACCGGGACUAGAACCCGGUGUGCCGGCGCCGCUAGGCGGAGGAUUAGCCUAUUGAGCCGCGGCGCCGGCCUAACUCUGCCUUUCAAAUAAAUAAUUGUUUUAAGAAAAAAAGGAAAUAAGGAAUGAUUCACGUUGACCUGUUUUUCUUAUUUCUGAUCUCAGAGGAAGAACUUCCUACAUUUUCCCAUUCAGUCUGACGUUGUUGUGAGGUUCUUCAAGCAUCUCUUUGAUCUUGGUCCUGCCCCAAAGGAGGAGCUGUUAACCAGUGACCCCUGCUGAACAGGAGCCCUGUGUCAGCCCUGCUUCUACCGGGAUCAGGUAGCACAUCAACACUAGCAUCGUGGGAGGAGCAGCUGCAGGGGCAACUCUUUCCGAAGGUGUGGACGCCACGGAGACAAGCAGAAAUCCAGGUCUGACAUUUCAGAGUCCCUUCACCUUCACUAGGCCUGAAGGUGCAAACAGGGGACGAAGGAGACCGAUGACCAGAGCCUGGAGACAGAGAGGGCUGGUGGACUGGAGUGGCCAACAGGCCAUGGGACCAAUGGCCACAGAGAGGGACAACAGAAAUCAAUGCUGAUCUCAAGUUCCCCCUUCCUCUGCUCUUCUAUCCCAGCUCCCCAUUGGCUGGACACACCAGAGGGCAAGCAGCCAUUGAUGUCAACCUCAGGGGCCACUGAGCAGCGAGACAGAGGUGGAAAAGUCAGAUGAUCUGGGAAAACCUUGCUUUAGAACCGCCAUGGCCACCAUCUCAUCAGAGGCAGUCAGGGAGUGGUCAGCAACCCUUGUGAGGGGCAGGGCUGCUUGUGUGGGGGUGCUGCUUCUCUCCCAGGACAACACGCAUCUUCCAGCCUCGCAGAGGUUCCUGGGAUGAUGAGAACGAGGAAUGUGGAGCAGACCCUUGGCCGCGGUUCACAUCCCGCAGCCAGGGUGAUCACUCGGGACCAUUCUGUCUCUGCCCAGCUGAUCCCAGCCUUCUCUCUCAAGAUUCUGCUGGGUCCCCUUCCAUGAACCUUCAUUUGGGGAGCUCUGGUGUGGGAGCUGAGAGAUCUGGGGGGUGCGGCUCUGACACUAAGUCUUUGUGGGUUACUGGAUCCUACCACUAACCUGAAUUUUCUCAUCUGCAAUACCAGGGGCCUGGACUGGGUGAUGGUGAUCCCCAAGGACUCCUCUGACCGGGAGUGUCUAAUCUAUCGCAAUGAGUUCAAUGUCUUGGUCAUUUGCAUAAUGAAAGCAUGUCUUCCCACAGCCAGGAGGUGGCAGCAAAGCUCUGUUUUGAAGGGGGCUGUAGGCCAUGGUAGACUGCUGUCUAGAGGCCCUAGAGCUCAAAGACCUGGUUUGGUGGCUAGAUUUUACUUAAUAAUAAUAGCAGUAUUAUUAUUAUUGCUGUUAGUAAAAUAGCAGCAACAAUCCACCUUCAACUUGGGCAGGGCUGCUUAGCUGAGGGAAGAUUUUUGCACAGAAUCACAUGGGAACCUGGAACAACCCCGUCAUGUGGGUGUGGGUGUGGGUGUGGGUGGGUAGCAGGACUCUCAGCCCCAGGAUAAAGCUCAGACACAUUUCCUGGCUCGCCCUAGGUCUUCUGGAAGGUAUAGAUUUGCCCAGACAGGAAUCCAAGCUCUCGAUUCCAGCCUCUACACCCGCUAGCUCAGGUUAUGAGCCUCUCUCGCUAUUUGGCAGGCGUCAGUGGGGCCCAGAGGUACCCCGCUGAAGAGCCCAAGGGCGAGGGUGUAAGGCUGCGAUUUGACUUGUAGAUCAUGGGGAGGAGAUCUUAGCACUCAUCUGCACUCCCUUCUUUUUCUUCCAGUCUCCAGGAAGGAAAAGAGAAAAGAAAAGGGAAGGGUGAGGAAGGGGAAGGAAAGAGAAGAAAGGAAAGAAAAGAUUCGUGGUUAUAAAUUCUUCUUCCUUUUUAAAAUUUCAUUUAUUUGGAAGGCAGUGAGACAGACCAAGAGAGAUUUUUUUCCAUCCUCUGAUUCACUCCUCAAAUCCUUACAACAGCCAGAGCUGGGCCAGGUCAAAGCCAGCAGCAAUCCAGAACUCAAUCCAGGUCUCCCAGAUAUCACUGCUGGGUGUGGGCAGGUGCCUUCAGCUGGGUACCUCUGGGCCCCUCUGACUCCUGCAAAACAGCGAGUGAGGCAGAGGGGCCCUUGCCUGGGGUCUUCCAUAGCAUGAGCUGGGGAGAAUAGAGGUUGAAGUCAAGAGAGCUUGGGUUCCUGUCUGGACACAUCCAUACCUUCCAGAGUCCCAGCUACUGCAGCCAUCACCUACUACCCCCCAGGGUGUCCAUCAGCAGGAAUCAGAAUUGGAAGCCAAGUUGCUGGGACUCGAAGCAGGCAGCCUGAUACGGAAUGCAGGGGUCCCUGGAGUGACUUAGCCACUGCACCAAAUGCCCACCCCAGUUAUUCAGUUCUCAUCAGAACAUAUCUGGGCCUAGGCUUGAAAGACUCAUCCAUUCAUUCCUUCAUUCAAUAAUCAGAAUUCUGAUGAGGUGUCAGACACAGUUUGGGGCAGGCCUUUGGUGCAGUGGUUAAGACAACACUCGGAUGCCUGCAUCCUGUAACAGGGUGCCUGGACUUGAGUCCUGGCUCUGCUGCUCACGUGCACCCUGGGAGGCAGCAGGUGACGACUCCGAUACCUGGGUCCCUGACCCCCUUGUGGGAGACCCAAUUGGGUUCCAGGCUCCUGGCUUGGGCUGUGGCAGGCAUUUGAGAAGUGAACCAGUCCAUGAAAGGUCUCCUCUCUCUGCCUUUCAAAUAAAACUAAAAAACUAAACAAACAAAAACAACCACCCAAACAAUUGAAUAAAAAAGACAUAGUUGUGCACUGUGAACGAUAUAGGAAUGUUCUUUGUCUCAGAAAUCUGGUGUCAAGAGCUGGGGUAUGGGAUAUACUUGGGGGUGCUUUCUUCCUAGGGAGGCCCAGCUAAACUGGAGAAGAUGGAAUUCAGGUCUGGUUUUGUGGGCACAUCAGGGAUUCCUGAAUUGUCUUUGAUGACCCCUAAUUGUGUGGUGUGUUAAUUCCUCCAGCUAGAGGAAACCCUUUAGAGACACAAUUGAAGCCCCAAACUGUUAUUGGCAUGCCUAUCUUGCACUCCACCCACCGCCCCCAGUGGGGGUGGGGGGGUCACCUCUCCACCCUCCCCAUCAUAAUAACUGGGUUAGCAGAGGGCGCACUGCACUGCGUGCUAGGCUCUAGGCCAGCGGGGCUUCUUAUCGCCUACCCUUCUUUAUUUCUCAAAACCAUCCAGUAAGUUGCUAUACCUGUGAGGAAAGAGAUCAAACUCAUGCGAUAACUUGCCCAAGGUCACAGAGGUAGUGAGUGGUAGGGCAGGACGGGGACUGUGGCAGAGUGGGACCCACAGAGCUCUUAGCACUGCGGCACACACCGAUGUCCAGCAGUGGGGGGACCCGCAUAAGGCUCCGGAACAGCUGCAGUCUCCACUCCUUCUCAGAACAUCGGGCAAGUCGUCACUUGCCAGCCACACUUUCUGAUAAUGAGAGUCUUGAUACCUGCCUGCUCAGACAGGCUUGUUGGAGUCUGGAAUGGGAAAGAGAAAAAAAUAAAAAAAAGGAGCUGGAAGCACUGAGCAUCAUACACAAUUGCUCUGUGCUUGAAGUAACGUUACUGCUCGCAUUGCGAGCUGAUGGGAGGGCAGGAGUGCUGGCCUCGGGCCUGGGACCUGGCGCACAUGGAGGACUGUUGCUUCCCUCUCCUGACCUCUGGUUCCUUGACUUUAAAACUGAGGACAUUGAAAAGAUCACUUAUUCCUGUUAAGUUUUUAAAAAUUGCCGGCGCUGCGGCUCACUAGGCUAAUCCUCUGCCUUGCGGUGCCAGCACACCGGGUUCUAGUCCCGGUCGGGGCGCCGGAUUCUGUCCCGGUUGCCCCUCUUCCAGGCCAGCUCUCUGCUGUGGCCAGGGAGUGCAGUGGAGGAUGGCCCAAGUGCUUGGGCCCUGCACCCCAUGGGAGACCAGGAGGAGCACCUGGCUCCUGCCAUCGGAUCAGCGCGGUGCGCUGGCUGCAGCAGCCAUUGGGGGGUGAACCAACGGCAAAGGAAGACCUUUCUCUCUGUCUCUCACUGUCCACUCUGUCAAAAAAAAAAAAAAUUAUAUAUUUGAGAAACAGAGAGGGGGCUGGCUCUUAUGUACUGGUUCACGUCCCAUAUGCCUAGGACUAGGAUGGGCUGAAGCCAGGAGCUGGGAACUCAGUCCAGGCCUACAACGUAGGUGGCAGAAACCCAACUACCUGAGCCUUUACUGUUGACUCUCAGGGUGAGCAGAAAGCUGGAAUCGGGAGCUGGAUCCAGUACAGAAAACAGGUACCCUCGGGGCCAGCACUGUGGCGCGGCGGGUUAAUGCCCUGGCCUGAAGUGCUGGCAUCUCAUAUGGGUGCCGGUUCUAGUCCCGGCUGCUCCACUUCCAAUCCAGCUCUCUGCUGUGGCCUGGGAAAGCAGUAGAAGAUGAUCCAAGUCCUUGGGCCCCUGCACCCACGUGGGAGACCCGGAAGAAGCUCCUGGCUAUCUGGGGAGUGAACCAGCAGAUGGAAGACCUCUCUGUCUCUACCUCUCUCUGUAACUCUUUCAAAUAAAUAAAAUAAAUAUUUUAAAAAAAGGUACCCUGAAGUGAGGUAUAGCUGUCUUCACUCUAAGCUAGAUGCCCACUUGGUAAAGAUCAUAAUUAAUGGACUCUUUCGGUGGUGAUGGCGAUCAUGACGCUGGCUGUGGGGAGGAUGAUGAUGGUGGUGAUGUUAGAGGGAUGUGACUCAGGACCAUUUUCUGCCACCAUCACUACUCACUCCAUCACUCUCACCUUCUAUGUCCACUGUGUCAGAGGCAUUUGAUGAGAUGGAGAGGAGGGCCUGAUGGCCAGAGAGAAGGGGUGAUCCAAUGUGGUAGAGAAUGGUGUGUGCUUAUCUUAGAGCCUGGUAUGCAUCGGGCCAAUACUUUUCUAACAGUUUCAUUGUAUUGUAGUUCCAUACCAUACAGUCCAUUCAUGUAAAGCGUAAACUUCAAUGGCUUUUAAUACAUUCCCAGAGUUUUGUAGCUAUCAAAACAAUUUUAGGAAAUUUUGAUUACCCAAAAGGAAACUCACAUUGAGAUGCCAUCCCUCUCAGUGGAGCUGGGAUUUUUAUUGUUGUCUCCACCUGAUGGAACAGGGAAAUUGAGGUGCAGAGAGGAGAAUAACUGUCCCCAGCAUUCACAGCUGGGAGGUGACAGCACCAAGAUUCUACCCAACUUUGCCAGAAUCCUGGGCCCACUCCUAAUCUAUCCAUAACGGUCCUUAUUCCAUCUUGUGUGUGCCUUCACGGUGAGCAAAUCGACAUAGUCAGGAUCCGUGGGCUCAGGAUCCAGGGGAGACCUGAACCUAGCAGCGGCUUCCUCUUUGGUGGGGAGGGAAUGAGGACAGUGCUUGGGCCUGGGCUCAGCCUGGACUUUUAAAGUUAAUGGCUCCCUGGUCCCAGGGCUCCUUCUCCUCUUGGUCCUGGGUACCAUGAGGAAGAUCCAUGCAGAGGGAGAGGAGUUACCCCAGCUGGAAGGAGGAGCAGGGUGGGAUAGCUGGGCCCCAUCCAGUCUUCUCCAAAGCAUCUGUUUUCCCAGGAGAAGAUGAAUUUGACAGUAUCGACUACCUGCUCAGAUGUCAUGGGAGCUAUGGGUGCCUCAGAGAAUCGUAUGGCACAGCCCCUAAGAGGGAUGGGAGGCAAAGGCACUGGCCUAGGCGUCUAAGACUUCCAGGGUCAACUAUAGUCAGAAUGCUUGAUUCACCCAGGCCUCGAUGUUUUGUAUGCAAAUUUAGGGAGAAAAUAGGAAAUGGAACUUUCAAGAAUUAUGAGUUCCUAGGAAGAAGGUGUGCUGGAAGUUAUCUGAAAGGGCCUUUACCUACCUAGUUUCCUAUCUUCCUCCCUCCCUUCCACUCUCCCUCCCCUCUUCCUUCCCUCCCUCCAUGUCUAAGCAUCUAUGUCUUCUCAGCUUCAGUGAGGUAUAAUCAACAAGCAGCAACUGUACACAUACAUACAAAGUGUAUAGCUUGCUGUUCUCAUAUCAGUACACAUGAUACGUAACUAACUGUGGCCCCACACCAUGCAUUAGGCCUUCACAACUCACUCAUCUUGCAUCACUGGAAGUUUGCGUUCUAGGAUCAACGCUUCCCCCAACUUCCAGCCCCUGGCCACCACCGGCCUGUCCUCUGCUUCUGUGAGUUUGACUGUGUUGAAUUCUGCAAGCGUGUGUAAGUGAGAUCGGGUGAGUUUGUCAAUGUGUGUGUGUCUGGCUUAUUUCACUUAACACAGCAUCCUCCAGCUGUGACCGUGCUGUCACAAAUGGCAGGAUUUCUGCUUUUUAAGGCUGCAUAGCGUUCCACUAUAUAAUUACACACCAUAUUGUCUUUACCCAUUCACUCACUGAUGGACAUUUAGGUUGAUUCUCCAACUUGGCUAUUGUGAGUAGUUUGCAAUGAACCUAAGAGUGAGGCUCUCUCUUCAACGUGUGAUUUCAUUUCCUUUGGAUAUAUGCUCAGAAGUGGGAUUGCUGGAUUACGGGGUCGUUCUCCUUUGAAUUUCCCAAGUCUGUUCACACUGUCUUCCUUAAUGAUGGUGUCCAUUUACAUUCCUACCAAGAGUGAACAGCAGCUCCCUUUUCUCCAUGUCGUCACCAAAUCUUACCAUUUGUCUUUUGGGUAAUGGCUAUCCUCACGGGUAUGGGGUAACCAAUGUUUACCCAGUGAUUUCUCUCUCUUGGAUUUUCACCUUUCUAUGGGGCAAGGAGGCUCCACUUUCCCCUUUCUUAUGCCGUCUUGUGUUUACAAUAGAACAGGCAAGAAUCUAAAAAUCAACCCCACGAAGAGAAACGGACCGCGACAAUAAAUACAGCGGAGCCAGGACUCGCAGCAUUUAGGAGGAUUUAUUUCUCACACAGUUCCCUCCUCUCUCCUGCAGGUGUCCCAUGGCAAUGAGCUCAGGAGGGCCUCAUUCUUCCAUCUUCUGUGAGAGAAAAAAAAUCAUACACAGGAAAUGAGCGCCAUGGAUGGAGGGGCUGGGCGUUACCUUCAAGUGCAGCAGCCCAGGGUCCGGAACUUCCGAAAAACGUUAAGGAUGGUAUUGUGUCCCUUUGUGCCGUGUCCACACAAGCCAAAGGCCAGGCGCUGGGGACAGGACCAAGUCCCUGAAAAGCAGGGAUUUCCUGAACACCGUGUACAGCCACAGGAGAGGCAGAGGUCACACGUCUGCGCCUCCCAUGUCUCUCUGCUCCUUCUCCGAGAGCCUAUAGCCACGGGGCUCUCGCUCAGCUCAUACCCUCCACGCUCUCCCAGCACAGUGUCUGG